AGUCCUCCAGCUCCCUCUCCCUCUCUGAUGACAACAAGGAGGCACUAGGGGCCGUCUGCCAGGUCCUGACCACCAGGGUGGGAGACAUCCUGAACAGUACCUGCAACGACGAUUACAAGGCCAGGCUCAUCAUCCAGAAAGGAUUGGAUUCCGGUGCCAGGGAAAGGUUCCCUGGCUCUCCGUGUUCCUCUUCACCCAAGGACGAAGAGGAGGUGGUUGUAAGUGUCUCAAACCCUAAACCCUCCACCUCAAC